rnacentral:rRNA from 1 species
UAUUGCACAAUGGGGGAAACCCUGAUGCAGCAACGCCGCGUGAAGGAAGACGGUCUUCGGACUGUAAACUUCUAUCAAUAGGGAAGAAAGAAAUGACGGUACCUAAAUAAGAAGCCCCGGCUAACUACGUGCCAGCAGCCGCGGUAAUACGUAGGGGGCAAGCGUUAUCCGGAUUUACUGGGUGUAAAGGGGGCGCAGACGGCAGCGCAAGCCAGGAGUGAAAGCCCGGGGCCCAACCCCGGGACUGCUCUUGGAACUGCGCGGCUGGAGUGCAGGAGGGGCAGGCGGAAUUCCUGGUGUAGCGGUGAAAUGCGUAGAUAUCAGGAGGAACACCGGUGGCGAAGGCGGCCUGCUGGACUGCGACUGACGUUGAGGCCCGAAAGCGUGGGGAGCAAACAGG